AGUUGCCAGCAUUCGGUUGGGCACUCUAGAGGGACUGCCGGCGACAAGUCGGAGAAGGUGGGGAUGACGUCAAAUCAUCAUGCCCCUUAUGACCUGGGCUACACACGUGCUACAAUGGGCGGUACAAAGGGCUGCGAACCCGCGAGGGGGAGCGAAUCCCAAAAAGCCGCUCUCAGUUCGGAUUGCAGGCUGCAACUCGACUGCGUGAAGUCGGAAUCGCUAGUAAUCGUGAAUCAGAAUGUCACGGUGAAUACGUUCCCGGGCCUU
rnacentral:rRNA from 1 species